GACAGCAGUCGCCGCGGUAAUACAGAGGGUGCAAGCGUUAAUCGGAAUUACUGGGCGUAAAGCGCGCGUAGGUGGUUUGUUAAGUUGGAUGUGAAAUCCCCGGGCUCAACCUGGGAACUGCAUCCAAAACUGGCAAGCUAGAGUAUGGUAGAGGGUGGUGGAAUUUCCUGUGUAGCGGUGAAAUGCGUAGAUAUAGGAAGGAACACCAGUGGCGAAGGCGACCACCUGGACUGAUACUGACACUGAGGUGCGAAAGCGUGGGGAGCAAACAGGAUUAGAUACCCCUGUAGUCCCUGUCUCUUAUAC
rnacentral:rRNA from 1 species